rnacentral:rRNA from 1 species
GACGAACACUGGCGGCGCGCCUAACACAUGCAAGUCGAACGAGCGAGAGAGAGCUUGCUUUCUUGAGCGAGUGGCGAACGGGUGAGUAACGCGUGAGGAACCUGCCUCAAAGAGGGGGACAACAGUUGGAAACGACUGCUAAUACCGCAUAAGCCCACGGUGCCGCAUGGCACAGAGGGAAAAGGAGCAAUCCGUUUUGAGAUGGCCUCGCGUCCGAUUAGCUAGUUGGUGAGGUAACGGCCCACCAAGGCGACGAUCGGUAGCCGGACUGAGAGGUUGAACGGCCACAUUGGGACUGAGACACGGCCCAGACUCCUACGGGAAGCAGCAGUGGGGAAUAUUGCACAAUGGGGGAAACCCUGAUGCAGCGACGCCGCGUGGAGGAAGAAGGUCUUCGGAUUGUAAACUCCUGUUGUUGGGGAAGAUAAUGACGGUACCCAACAAGGAAGUGACGGCUAACUACGUG